UGGUAACGAUAUCCCUGAUUUAAUAAUUUACCAGUAAUACAUAGGUUGCGUUCGUUAAAAUCAAAAACGUCACAACAGACAGGGGCAUAGCGAACAAGUUGUGAAAUAUAAACACCGUAAGAUGGUGCCAAAGGAACAUCACCAUCUAAAAAUGGAAAAUUAACAAUAGGGAACGAAAAAUCGUCUCUUUUGUCGUAAAUUUUAGUGUGGAGUUUCCCGUUUAAAACCGAAAUAUCUAAAUCCAGGAAAGGACAGUUAUUACCGAAUAAAUUUGAUUUAUU
rnacentral:lncRNA from 1 species